GGGCUCGUAGCUCAGUCGGUUAGAGCGUUGCAUUCACAUUGCAAAGGUCUCAGGUUCGAAUCCUGACGGGCCCACCA
rnacentral:tRNA from 1 species